ensembl:lncRNA
GAUCCCGUCCGUCAGCAAAGAGUCUGCGUCAACCACCCGCUGCUCCCACCUCCACCUACGUAUACAACCAACCAUCAACCAUAGGAUGUUUAAGCCCAUCUCUCCAGAGGUCACCUUGGCUUGUUUACUUGACUGGAGUGGACGCUCAGUGAACAUCUCACCUACCAACGUGUGUUCAGCUCUCAACUCAUUUCCUACUGGAUCCUCAGUCAGUGUGGGUUUUUGGACCAGUUGCACCUCACGGGCCGAGCCACCAAUCCUGAACGCGCCUGUACGCACCAAGUACUCACCCAGCAACUGUACGUUGUCGCAGACAUCUCUGCACGCACACAGAAACACACACAUACACACACAAACACACGGCUGCACAUACACUCACCUCUGCACUGCUGAAACACACCACUAUUGAAACACUGAAGACUCGUCUGAUUCUGGUAAUGUCCAAAAUGUCCUGGUUAUUGGCUCAGAGGGGUGAGAAGACUCUCUGGUGAUUGAGGCCCGGGAGACGGGGCUUUCUGUCUUUCCAGAGAGCUGCCCUGACCACCCUGGUACACAUAAGAGAAGAAAUCCUUUUCAGGUUGAGAGUAUGACACAGGACUGCCUCAUAAAUCAGAGUACAGGCCCAGCCCGGCACAGGCUGGGAACGCCAUGGGAGUGGUAGGCGGCACUACGGUGAGGUUUUUGGGGAAGGAUUAUGGAUUGAGACGUACAGCUGGGAGGCUAAAGUUACACUUUUCAUUACCACUUCGAGGGGGUCUUGGCUGCCUGGAAGCCCAGUCAGAUUUGUGAAGACCUCUUUCUCCCCCCCCGGAAUAGUUGUAAUUGUGCAGGCGCAUUCUUCACCUGAGGACAAUUGUUUUUGAUAUGGCAAAAAACAAUUUGGUGAAACGCGAUGGGGAUGCUGUUUUUUUUUUUCUUUCUCUUUCUUUGCCAAUGGAAGAAUGAAAAAAAAAAUGAAGAAAAAAAGAGAGGGCAUUGUGAAAAGUCUUCAUUCACCAAAAGACCAGAGUAAAGAGAGAGCAGUAUGCCCCCUUCUGGCUCUUUUCUUCUCUCCUUCUUUUCUUCUCCUUUUUUCCUUGGCGUCUGGAGAUGUGAAGAAAUGUCUUUUGAUCAGCUCUGACAGAGCCCGGGCCAUGUGAAGAGGGCGGCUAGCGGGACUCUGCCAAACCAUGCAAGGCAAAAAUGUUCCUAAUAAGAGAGUAAUAAGCUAAGGAGUGCUGGCUGUCUCUCUGAUCCACAUUCUGGAUGCUGUUUGUGCCAACACACCCAGUGCCUUCUGACGUGUACCCGACUCUCAUCGGUCUUUGGACUGUUUGCCAGGUCACUGCGUUUCACCUGCCUUGUCCCAUAUGCUCUCGCCAAUGGUGCAAUAGUUUGAAAUUUGGAAUCGUGUGGGUACAAAAAAUGAAUUUGUUAGCAUGAUUUUACACAUGUCCAGAAUGUAAAAUAUGUUUCUCCGCAGAAUAUAUACACGGGUGGAAAAAAUAAGGUGCAGGGUUGGCUUUCCAGCAAACCUGGCCCACACAACGUCAACUUGUGCUAUUUCCACAAUUGACUGCUUCCAUUGUGUGUGUGGUUUUGAAGUGGUCACAUAUCAAAGGGCUCUGUCUCUGCAGGGUGGAUUCUCUGGUACUCUGUAGAGCACAACAAGGAGAUAGUUACCUCUCACAGCUUCUCACUGCAGCAUCCCAGCCCAAAUAAACACAUCACCUCCACUGCAGGGGGAGGAGG